rnacentral:miRNA from 1 species
AAGAGCGGGAUGUGUAAAAGG